GAUGAACGCUGGCGGCGUGCCUAAUACAUGCAAGUCGAGCGAACAGAUAAGGAGCUUGCUCCUUUGACGUUAGCGGCGGACGGGUGAGUAACACGGGGGUAACCUACCUAUAAGACUGGGAUAACUUCGGGAAACCGGAGCUAAUACCGGAUAAUAUUUCGAACCGCAUGGUUCGAUAGUGAAAGAUGGUUUUGCUAUCACUUAUAGAUGGACCCGCGCCGUAUUAGCUAGUUGGUAAGGUAACGGCUUACCAAGGCGACGAUACGUAGCCGACCUGAGAGGGUGAUCGGCCAAACUGGAACUGAGACACGGUCCAGACUCCUACGGGAGGCAGCAGUAGGGAAUCUUCCGCAAUGGGCGAAAGCCUGACGGAGCAACGCCGCGUGAGUGAUGAAGGUCUUCGGAUCGUAAAACUCUGUUAUUAGGGAAGAACAUACGUGUAAGUAACUGUGCACGUCUUGACGGUACCUAAUCAGAAAGCCACGGCUAACUACGUG
rnacentral:rRNA from 1 species